ACAGUUUGUUGGUGAGGUAAUGGCCCACCAAGACUAUUACAGGUACGGGCUCUGAGAGGAGUAGCCCGGAGAUGGGUACUGAGACACGGACCCAGGCCCUAUGGGGCGCAGCAGGCGAGAAAACUUUGCAAUGUGCGAAAGCACGACAAGGUUAAUCCGAGUGGUUUCUGCUAAAGGAACCUUUUGUCAGUCCUAGAAACACUGAUGAAUAAGGGGUGGGCAAGUUCUGGUGUCAGCCGCCGCGGUAAAACCAGCACCUCAAGUGGUCAGGAUGAUUAUUGGGCCUAAAGCAUCCGUAGCCGGCUCUGUAAGUUUUCGGUUAAAUCUGUACGCUCAACGUACAGGCUGCCGGGAAUACUGCAAAGCUAGGGAGUGGGAGAGGUAGACGGUACUCGGUAGGAAGGGGUAAAAUCCUUUGAUCUAUUGAUGACCACCUGUGGCGAAGGCGGUCUACCAGAACACGUCCGACGGUGAGGGAUGAAAGCUGGGGGAGCAAACCGGAUUAGAUACCCGGGUAGUCCCAGCUGUAAACCAUGCAAACUCAGUGAUGCAUUGGCUUGUGGCCAAUGCAGUGCUGCAGGGAAGCCGUUAAGUUUGCCGCCUGGGAAGUACGUACGCAAGUAUGAAACUUAAAGGAAUUGGCGGGGGAGCACCACAAGGGGUGAAGCCUGCGGUUCAAUUGGAGUCAACGCCGGG
rnacentral:rRNA from 2 species